UACGUAGGGUGCGAGCGUUAAUCGGAAUUACUGGGCGUAAAGCGCACGUAGGUGGCGACGUAAGUCGGGUGUGAAAGCCCCGGGCUCAACCUGGGAAUUGCAUUCGAGACUGCAUUGCUGGAGUACGGAAGAGGAAGGCGGAAUUCCCGGUGUAGCGGUGAAAUGCGUAGAUAUCAGGAGGAACACCGGUGGCGAAGGCGGGUCUCUGGGCCGAUACUGACGUGAGGAGCGAAAGCGUGGGGAGCGAACAGG
rnacentral:rRNA from 1 species